rnacentral:rRNA from 1 species
CCUACGGGAGGCUGCAGUGGGGAAUUUUGGACAAUGGGCGAAGGCCUGAUCCAGCAAUGCCGCGUGAGUGAAGAAGGCCUUCGGGUUGUAAAGCUCUUUUGUUUGGGAAGAAAUCCCUAAGGAUAAUACCCUUGGGGGAUGACGGUACCAAAAGAAUAAGCACCGGCUAACUACGUGCCAGCAGCCGCGGUAAUACGUAGGGUGCAAGCGUUAAGUGGAGUUACUGGGCGUAAAGCUGUAGCAGGGGGGUGAAAUCCCCGAGCUCAACUUGGGAGCUGCACUUGUGACUGCAAGACUAGAGUGUGUCAGAGGGAGGUAGAAUUCCACGUGUAGCAGUGAAAUGCGUAGAUAUGUGGAGGAAUACCAGUGGCGAAGGCGGCCUCCUGGGAUAACACUGACGCUCAUGUACGAAAGCGUGGGGAGCAAACAGGAUUAGAUACCCCUGUAGUC